ensembl:lncRNA
UCAGCCGGAGAAGGAGAGGCUCAAACAGGCAUAAAGUGCGACUCCAAGUGGCCACUGUGCGCAAAGACGCGCCGAAUCGCGGGGCCCGCAGCGGGAAGGCUAGACUGACCACUCGGACCUAGCUGGGUCUUCCCAACCGGCCCAACCCAAGGCGACCCGGAACGUAAUCUGUGUGUGCACCGGAGCCCAAGACAGUUUCUUCUUGAGCCACACACAGGUCCUCAGUUCGGUCCUCGGACUCAGCCCCGAGUUCCGCGCUGAUCUCCCCUCAUGAAACUCGCCCUCCAGCUCCGGGGGUCAGGGGUCGGAGGAGCAGGGAGGGAUGCCUGGAGGCGGCUCCUUGCACGGGAAGGUCCUAGGCCGAAUUAGAAGGAUGGCCGAAAGCGGAAACGCCACUGCGAGGGGCCCCAGGGUUGUCCGAUGAGAAACCAACCCCGAGCGCAGACGGAGACCCCUGAGCGCACCACACUGAAGCAUCCAUACAGUGCCUGAGCGCUGCGCACCUUCUCUAUCGGGUACAGGGUGGCCCGAAAUAUGAGCUCUGGAGACCCCGGCCCGGGCGCAGAAGCCGGAUAAAUCGCGAAUUCGCUGUAACCGGAGACACGACCCGCCUCCGGCGUCGCCUUCUGCUCUUCGGCUUUGCGCGAGUGCAGCGAAAGACAGGAGAAGCGCGCACUGGGUGCAGAGGAGCCGGCAUCACUUUCAUUACACCUACAUGCUCCAGUAUCAAUCACGCCACCAUGGCGGCCUGUCUGGGAGCAGUUCAUUUCAAGUGAGUUUUUCUGUCCUGAUUCUGUUCCCAUCUCGAUGCGUGCAUGCCU